rnacentral:rRNA from 1 species
UAACACGUAGGUAACCUGCCCAUGUGCCCGGGAUAACUUCUGGAAACGGAUGCUAAAACCGGAUAGGUAGCAGACAAGCAUUUGACUGCUAUUAAAGUGGCUAAGGCCAUGAACAUGGAUGGACCUGCGGUGCAUUAGCUAGUUGGUGAGGUAACGGCCCACCAGGGCGACGAUGCAUAGCCGGCCUGAGAGGGCGGACGGCCACAUUGGGACUGAGACACGGCCCAAACUCCUACGGGAGGCAGCAUG